AGAGUUUGAUCCUGGCUCAGGAUGAACGCUGGCGGCGUGCCUAAUGCAUGCAAGUCGAGCGACGCAUACCGGAGGGGUAACCCACUGGUAUGACGGAGCGGCGAACGGGUGAGUAACACGUGAGUAACCUGCCCCACAGACCGGGACAGCCCAGGGAAACCUGGAUUAAUACCGGAUACCCUCGGGGGAUCGCAUGAUCUUUCGAGGAAAUGCCUUUGUGCUGUGGGAUGGACUCGCGACUUAUCAGCUAGUUGGUGGGGUAACGGCCUACCAAGGCGUCGACGAGUAGCUGGUCUGAGAGGACGAUCAGCCACACUGGGACUGAGACACGGCCCAGACUCCUACGGGAGGCAGCAGCAGGGAAUCUUGCGCAAUGGGCGAAAGCCUGACGCAGCAACGCCGCGUGGGGGAUGAAGGCCUUCGGGUUGUAAACCCCUUUCAGGAGGGAAGAAAUUGACGGUACCUCCAAAAGAAGCACCGGCCAACUACGUGCCAGCAGCCGCGGUAAUACGUAGGGUGCGAGCGUUAUCCGGAAUCAUUGGGCGUAAAGAGCUCGUAGGCGGUUCAGCAAGUCGGCUGUGAAAUUUCGAGGCUCAACCUCGAAACUGCAGUCGAAACUGCUGUGACUCGAGUCCGGUAGAGGAGAAUG
rnacentral:rRNA from 1 species